CCUACGGGAGGCAGCAGUGAGGAAUAUUGGUCAAUGGACGAGGGUCUGAACCAGCCAAGUAGCGUGAAGGAUGACUGCCCUAUGGGUUGUAAACUUCUUUUAUAUGGGAAUAAAACGUUCCACGUGUGGGAUUUUGUAUGUACCAUAUGAAUAAGGAUCGGCUAACUCCGUGCCAGCAGCCGCGGUAAUACGGAGGAUCCGAGCGUUAUCCGGAUUUAUUGGGUUUAAAGGGAGCGUAGGUGGAUUGUUAAGUCAGUUGUGAAAGUUUGCGGCUCAACCGUAAAAUUGCAGUUGAAACUGGCAGUCUUGAGUACAGUAGAGGUGGGCGGAAUUCGUGGUGUAGCGGUGAAAUGCUUAGAUAUCACGAAGAACUCCGAUUGCGAAGGCAGUUCACUGGACUGCAACUGACACUGAGGCUCGAAAGUGUGGGUAUCAAACAGGAUUAGAUACCCGAGUAGUC
rnacentral:rRNA from 1 species